AUUGAACGCUGGCGGCAGGCUUAACACAUGCAAGUCGAGCGGGGAAGGUAGCUUGCUACCGGACCUAGCGGCGGACGGGUGAGUAAUGCUUAGGAAUCUGCCUAUUAGUGGGGGACAACAUCUCGAAAGGGAUGCUAAUACCGCAUACGUCCUACGGGAGAAAGCAGGGGAUCUUCGGACCUUGCGCUAAUAGAUGAGCCUAAGUCAGAUUAGCUAGUUGGUGGGGUAAAGGCCUACCAAGGCGACGAUCUGUAGCGGGGCUGGGAGGAUGAUCCGCCGCACUGGGACUGAGACACGGCCCAGACUCCUACGGGAGGCAGCAGUGGGGAAUAUUGGACAAUGGGGGGAACCCUGAUCCAGCCAUGCCGCGUGUGUGAAGAAGGCCUUAUGGUUGUAAAGCACUUUAAGCGAGGAGGAGGCUACUUUAGUUAAUACCUAGAGAUAGUGGACGUUACUCGCAGAAUAAGCACCGGCUAACUCUGUGCCAGCCGCCGCCGUAA
rnacentral:rRNA from 1 species